ACUCCUACGGGAGGCAGCAGUGGGGAAUAUUGCACAAUGGGCGCAAGCCUGAUGCAGCCAUGCCGCGUGUGUGAAGAAGGCCUUCGGGUUGUAAAGCACUUUCAGUCGUGAGGAAGGUUGUGUCGUUAAUAGCGGCUUGAUUUGACGUUAGCGACAGAAGAAGCACCGGCUAACUCCGUGCCAGCAGCCGCGGUAAUAC
rnacentral:rRNA from 1 species